UACGGAGGGUGCGAGCGUUGUCCGGAAUCACUGGGCGUAAAGGGCGCGUAGGCGGCCUGAUAAGUAGGGGGUGAAAUCCUGCGGCUUAACCGCAGGGCUGCCUUCUAAACUGUCAGGCUAGAGCACGGUAGAGGCAGAUGGAAUUCCCGGUGUAGCGGUGGAAUGCGUAGAGAUCGGGAAGAACAUCAAUGGCGAAGGCGGUCUGCUGGGCCGUUGCUGACGCUGAGGCGCGACAGCGUGGGGAGCAAACAGG
rnacentral:rRNA from 1 species